rnacentral:lncRNA from 1 species
CUAGCUGAUUUGUUUGUUGAAUUUGGCGAGGGUGGGGAUAUUUAUGAACUUGCUAUAAAUGAAAUGAAACAAAAAUUUAAAAAAUAUUUUUUUCCCUAUCCCCUCCUAUUUUUGGUGUAGCUACAAUGUUAAAUCCUACAAUGAAAUUGGGAGCUCCUCAUUUUUGGUAUUCUAUUAUUUAUAAGGCUUUAGAUCUUUCAGACGAGGAAAUUGCUACACUUGCUG